rnacentral:rRNA from 1 species
UACGAAGGGGGCUAGCGUUGCUCGGAAUCACUGGGCGUAAAGCGCACGUAGGCGGACUCUUAAGUCGGUGGUGAAAUCCUGGAGCUCAACUCCAGAACUGCCUUCGAUACUGGGAGUCUCGAGUCCGAGAGAGGUGAGUGGAACUGCGAGUGUAGAGGUGAAAUUCGUAGAUAUUCGGAAGAACACCAGUGGCGAAGGCGGCUCACUGGCCCGGUACUGACGCUGAGGUGCGAAAGCGUGGGGAGCAAACAGG